GAUGAACGCUGGCGGCGUGCCUAAUACAUGCAAGUAGAACGCUGAAGGAAGGAGCUUGCUCUUUCCGGAUGAGUUGCGAACGGGUGAGUAACGCGUAGGUAACCUGCCUGGUAGCGGGGGAUAACUAUUGGAAACGAUAGCUAAUACCGCAUAACAGUAGAUGUUGCAUGAUAUCUACUUAAAAGGUGCAAUUGCACCACUACCAGAUGGACCUGCGUUGUAUUAGCUAGUUGGUGAGGUAACGGCUCACCAAGGCGACGAUACAUAGCCGACCUGAGAGGGUGAUCGGCCACACUGGAACUGAGACACGGCCCAGACUCCUACGGGAGGCAGCAGUAGGGAAUCUUCGGCAAUGGACGGAAGUCUGACCGAGCAACGCCGCGUGAGUGAAGAAGGUUUCGGAUCGUGAAGGUCGGUUGUAAGGGAAGAACGAGCGUGAGAGUGGAAAGUUCACACUGUGACGGUAUCUUACCAGAAAGGGACGGCUAACUACGUG
rnacentral:rRNA from 1 species